CCAGAGAGCAAUAAUAGCACAGCAGAAGAGCCGGGGGGGGUUUUGAGUGGGCAAGGAGUUGUUCCUCGCGCAGGACGCGCAUUAACUCGACGAACACCAGCCCGCCCGCCGGCCCUCCCAAUCCCUAUCUAGCUCCUAGGGUUUGGCCCCUGCGUUCUCAGCUGUUGUAGGUGAUCCCUCCACCGUCCAGAUGUGACCCAACGGUGGAUGAAAGAGCCUGCCCCAUGGAUCAAGGGAUGUCACUCACCUAUAAAAAAGAGACUAGGGGGAAGCUUUCAUGAGCCGUCCAUGGAGUCGGGAAGACGAAGAAACAGGAAGCUUAUCCUUUGAGGGGAAUGUUGUCUGGCUCGAGGUCACUGCUAGUCCUCCACCCUGUGGAAGAGAUCUCGGACCAGGCUUCAUUCCCCCCAAUCAUAGCUUCCAUCUCCGACACAUGAGGGUGUAGUACAUAUCGGAACGUUGCAGAUCUGCAAGACUCAUAACUCAUAGUUCUGUUUCUCUCUUUGCUGCUUGUUUUGCGUUGAGAUUUCCUCUACCCCCCGCCCCCCGCUCUCUCUCUCUCUCUCUCUCUCUCUCU